rnacentral:rRNA from 1 species
GGAAGGAUCAUUAAUUAUGUUAAAGCGCCUUACCUCUUAGGGUUUCCUCUGGGGUAAGUGAUUGCUUCUACACUGUGAAAAUUUGGCUGAGAGACUCAGACUGGUCAUGGGUAGACCUAUCUGGGGUUUGAUCGAUGCCACUCCUGGUUUCAGGAGCACCCUUCAUAAUAAACCUAGAAAUUCAGUAUUAUAAAGUUUAAUAAAAAACAACUUUUAACAAUGGAUCUCUUGGUUCUCGCAUCGAUGAAGAACGUAGCAAAGUGCGAUAACUAGUGUGAAUUGCAUAUUCAGUGAAUCAUCGAGUCUUUGAACGCAGCUUGCACUCUAUGGUUUUUCUAUAGAGUACGCCUGCUUCAGUAUCAUCACAAACCCACACAUAACAUUUGUUUAUGUGGUAAUGGGUCGCAUCGCUGUUUUAUUACAGUGAGCACCUAAAAUGUGUGUGAUUUUCUGUCUGGCUUGCUAGGCAGGAAUAUUACGCUGGUCUCAGGAUCUUUUUCUUUGGUUCGCCCAGGAAGUAAAGUACAAGAGUAUAAUCCAGCAACUUUCAAACUAUGAUCUGAAGUCAGUGG